rnacentral:rRNA from 1 species
UACGUAGGGCGCGAGCGUUGUCCGGAAUUAUUGGGCGUAAAGAGCUCGUAGGCGGCCUGUUGCGUCCGCUGUGAAAUCCCGGGGCUCAACCCCGGGCUUGCAGUGGAUACGGGCUGGCUAGAGGCAGGCAGGGGAGAACGGAAUUCCCGGUGUAGCGGUGAAAUGCGUAGAUAUCUGGAGGAACACCGGUGGCGAAGGCGGCAUCCUGGACCGACACUGACGCUGAGGCGCGAAAGCUAGGGUAGCAAACGGG